GACGAACGCUGGCGGCGUGCUUAACACAUGCAAGUCGAACGGAAAGGCCCUGCUUUUGUGGGGUGCUCGAGUGGCGAACGGGUGAGUAACACGUGAGUAACCUGCCCUUGACUUUGGGAUAACUUCAGGAAACUGGGGCUAAUACCGGAUAGGAGCUCCUGCUGCAUGGUGGGGGUUGGAAAGUUUCGGCGGUUGGGGAUGGACUCGCGGCUUAUCAGCUUGUUGGUGGGGUAGUGGCUUACCUAGGCUUUGACGGGUAGCCGGCCUGAGAGGGUGACCGGCCACAUUGGGACUGAGAUACGGCCCAGACUCCUACGGGAGGCAGCAGUGGGGAAUAUUGCACAAUGGGCGGAAGCCUGAUGCAGCAACGCCGCGUGCGGGAUGACGGCCUUCGGGUUGUAAACCGCUUUCGCCUGUGACGAAGCGUGAGUGACGGUAAUGGGUAAAGAAGCACCGGCUAACUACGU
rnacentral:rRNA from 1 species